rnacentral:rRNA from 1 species
UACGAAGGGGGCUAGCGUUGCUCGGAAUUACUGGGCGUAAAGGGCGCGUAGGCGGAUAUCUAAGUUGGGGGUGAAAUCCCGGGGCUCAACCUCGGAAUUGCCUUCAAAACUGGGUAUCUUGAGUUCGGGAGAGGUGAGUGGAACUCCGAGUGUAGAGGUGAAAUUCGUCGAUAUUCGGAAGAACACCAGUGGCGAAGGCGACUCACUGGCCCGAUACUGACGCUGAGGCGCGAAAGCGUGGGGAGCAAACAGG